GGGGCCCGCACAAGCGGUGGAGCAUGUGGUUUAAUUCGAAGCAACGCGAAGAACCUUACCAAGGCUUGACAUCCCGAUGACCGCUCUAGAGAUAGAGCUUCUCUUCGGAACAUCGGUGACAGGUGGUGCAUGGUUGUCGUCAGCUCGUGUCGUGAGAUGUUGGGUUAAGUCCCGCAACGAGCGCAACCCUUAUCUUCAGUAGCCAUCAUU
rnacentral:rRNA from 1 species